CUUGAUUUGAAAAAAACAGAGUAAUGUUUGGAUGUUCAUUUUAGUUGAGAAUCUGUGUCUUAGUGACUGCUGAAAAAGUGUCUAUUUUACAGGGAUUUGGAUAAAACUAACGAUUAAAUAUGGACAUUUUUCAAAUGUCCCACACUCACAAGGUUAUCACUUUGUCAAGUUUUUGUCCUUUCAGAUCGAACAAACAUCACAGAACUAUUCUAAUCAAUAAUGUUUAUUCUAUCAAUAUAACCGGUCAUUUAAUGUAUAUUUAUAUUUAGUAUAACCAUCGUGCUCCAUUAUAUAGUGUAAAAAUGCCACAUUAUGUUCAUAC